GGCUUUCAAGCACCCACAUUCUUGUCUCUCUCUCUCAAAAAGAACCCUAGAGAUUUAUCCAUGGAGGAACCACAUUCGUGCCAUCUCUUCCGCUUCAGAUCCAGACAUGGAUUGGAUCUUUUUGAGGGUUAGACAACUACUACUUCAACAAUAAGAGAAGUUAAAAGAUCUCCAGACCAGACCUCGCAAGAACAGGUCUAUGGUUCAAAGUUUGAGUGGAUUUGCUCAGAUGUUAUUCUAGUUGUGUAGAAAAUGAACACAUCUCAACGUGUUGAUUGAAGGGUUGUAAAUGAACACGAUUCAUAUCAUCAUCCUCUCCUUCAUCCCCUCGAAGUCUUAACAAAAGGACCAGCCUCUGAUAGUCUAAUUGUCUCUUCUUCAACAAACUCCAUUGUUGAUGAAUUGCAGCCACCUAAGUCUUCAGAUGUGUUUCUUUUUAACUUUUGUGGAUCUGAUCUUCAAGGCAUGUUACAUGGUUGAUUUGAAAGCAUAGAUCUUUAUGUGGGGUUGUAAAUGAACAAGAUUCAUAUCACCAUUUUGUCCUUUAUCUUCUCAAAGUCUCAAGAGGUAAAAGUUUUUGAUAUAUUUUUAUAUUUAGUUUUAAAAUCCAUAUAAACCUUCAUAUGUAGCUCAACUUUUUGUUGAUCAUGUAUUUUCUUGAUGAGGACCUGCACAUUUUCUGAUUUCGUUUAGUUUUUUUGCUGCUGUUUAAUGCAAUCAUGCGAAUACGGGAACUAAUGGCCUAGCCAUCUCUACUCAACACGCUUCUCAAAUUGAGGAUGCAGUAUGGUAUGAAUUAGGGUUUUUGUUGGCUUUUUGGCAGCUUCAUCCGACGACGGCACAUAAGUUUAAAAUGAUGGCUUCAUGGCGGAUUUUUGCUGACAAGCAUCACUUGUUUUGAGUGUUGUAAUGGCUACUCAUAUGGCUGCUGAAUAGAUUUGAGAUCUACUUUAACUACUGUUUUUAAUCAUCCAUUUGAGUAUAUUAAAACUGUUCUUUAACCAGUAAAAAGGUGCUUGAUAGAGGAUGAUGUUCCAUGUUUUUGUGUUAAUAUUUUACAUUGAUUUCUUUGGAUU
rnacentral:lncRNA from 1 species